GAGGUCUUAACUAACGACACAAAAAUCCCUCUCUCUCCCUCUCAGAUCUAUCUCUAUGGUUCUUCUAGAUCUGUCUCUAGCAUUUUUCAUUAACCCUAGAUCUCUCUCUCUCUCUCUCUCUCUCUCUCUCUCUCUCUCUCUGUAUAGUCCAUUUUGAAGUCUUCAUCUUUGUUUCUUUUCUCUCUGGAUCUGACCCGUAGCCGCUUAAUCUCCAGGCCUUAACUAAUUGUUAGUUAAGUUUAGUAGUUGCUUGGAUUUUGAUCAAAUUAAAAACCCAAGCUUGAGGCCUUCGAGCUCUCUCUUCAUCAAACCCUAAAAUUCCAUUCCCAGAUGCCAAUUUCUUUCCCAAUCUAGUUCCUAUCGAGUCGAUGCCUUAUCUUCUCCAGGCCUCCACUAAGAUGGCUUUGGAAUCCUAUACAUGUGGACCGUACAAAAUCAGCAACAGGAAAGUGUUUUACAGUACUAAUCUAUCGUAUACCUUGGUUAAUCUGUGCCAUGCUGUUCCUGGUCACAAAAGAUGUCUCACUUUUAUCUCAGUGGAUAACUAUUGAUCUAUAUAUUUGAGAAGUUGAAGGCAUGAAAUUUGAACUAUCCAUGAAUAGAUGCAGCAAUAGCUUGUCAAAGCUGGAGCAAGUUGCUUGCCCAUUUUGCGGUGUUUCAGUCUACGAUAGGUCACUGCUCAGGUGCUUUUGGGGGUUUGGAAGCUAAUGGUAGAGUGAAAUCCAUACAACCAGGAUGGCUCCAUCAUUCCCUAAACCAAUAUGUAUAGAGCUUCUAUGUUUGGUGGUUUUAUUUAUGAGGUUUGGAAGCAAUUCACAAAGCAUUGUCUUAGGUUGUCCAUAUCAAAUAAGAGGUCUAGCUAUGGGGAGGAAGAGACUUGGAUGUUUAAAUUUUGAUGGGUACAUCUGUAAUUUUCUUUCAAUGGAAUUGUUGUAUAAAAUAUAGUAUAAAGUACAGUAAGAAUGUAAAGGUGCCGACUGUCACCUUUUUUUAAUUUUUUUUUUUUUAAAUUUAGCCUCACAAAUUUGCCACUAAUAUAAGUGCCAUUCCAAAGCCACUGAUUGUAAUGUAGUCUUGCCUUGGCUCAAGUUAUGUCACUGUUAAAUUAUCAGUGUGCAAUGUCCCAAUAAGACCUGCUAUAGAGGGGACUGA